AUGCCUGCGCGCGGCAACAUCGGGGUGUCCAUCUUGGCACCAAUGCUGGACAAGGUCUGGUGGCGGUGCUCGUAUGCCAAGCCGAUUUACGGCCUUGGUCUUUGGGGCCUCUCAGAGGUGGGCUUGAACACAGAAGAGACACACUCCAGGAGAGACGCCUGUGUGCAGCUCCCUAGCGUCCAUGUCCUGUCCCUACACAUGUCUCCUGUCCAGGAUUCAGUUAGCUUUCCAAAUGCAGAUCUCAGCUUUUUUGCGGCAGAGAUCGAUAAACAUAUGGUUACCAACUUCUCUGGUCUGGACCUACAUCUCAGCACCAAGGGCCAUGUGUUUGGAGCUUUUGUGCUGCAUCUCCUUGGGAUGCAUCGGAUUGGUACAGCUUUACGGAACCUUAAGAUUGUCCUGCUAAGAUCAGAGGUAAUUUAUCAUACAUUUUUGCUUAUGCAGUUGGAAUAUAUGCAGUACAUGUUCAGCCAAUAA
rnacentral:rRNA from 1 species